rnacentral:rRNA from 2 species
UGUUUGAUGUUCUAACGUGGACCCGUGAUCCGGGUUGCGGACAGUGUCUGGUGGGUAGUUUGACUGGGGCGGUCUCCUCCUAAAGAGUAACGGAGGAGCACGAAGGUUGGCUAAUCCUGGUCGGACAUCAGGAGGUUAGUGCAAUGGCAUAAGCCAGCUUGACUGCGAGCGUGACGGCGCGAGCAGGUGCGAAAGCAGGUCAUAGUGAUCCGGUGGUUCUGAAUGGAAGGGCCAUCGCUCAACGGAUAAAAGGUACUCCGGGGAUAACAGGCUGAUACCGCCCAAGAGUUCAUAUCGACGGCGGUGUUUGGCACCUCGAUGUCGGCUCAUCACAUCCUGGGGCUGAAGUAGGUCCCAAGGGUAUGGCUGUUCGCCAUUUAAAGUGGUACGCGAGCUGGGUUUAGAACGUCGUGAGACAGUUCGGUCCCUAUCUGCCG